UACGUAGGUGGCAAGCGUUAUCCGGAAUUAUUGGGCGUAAAGAGCGCGCAGGCGGUUGAUUAAGUCUGAUGUGAAAGCCCACGGCUUAACCGUGGAGGGUCGUUGGAAACUGGUCGACUUGAGUGCAGAAGAGGGAAGUGGAAUUCCAUGUGUAGCGGUGAAAUGCGUAGAGAUAUGGAGGAACACCAGUGGCGAAGGCGGCUUCCUGGUCUGUAACUGACACUGAGGCGCGAAAGCGUGGGGAGCAAACAGGAUUAGAUACCCU
rnacentral:rRNA from 1 species